UACGGAGGGAGCUAGCGUUAUUCGGAAUUAUUGGGCGUAAAGGGCGCGUAGGCGGCCUGGCAAGUGGAAGGUGAAAUCCCUCGGCUUAACCGAGGAACUGCCCUCCAAACUGCUUGGCUUGAGUCCGGGAGAGGUGAGUGGAAUUCCUAGUGUAGAGGUGAAAUUCGUAGAUAUUAGGAAGAACACCAGUGGCGAAGGCGGCUCACUGGCCCCGGUACUGACGCUGAGGCGCGAAAGCGUGGGGAGCAAACAGG
rnacentral:rRNA from 1 species